AGAGUUUGAUCCUGGCUCAGAUUGAACGCUGGCGGCAGGCCUAACACAUGCAAGUCGAGCGGUAGAGAGAAGCUUGCUUCUCUUGAGAGCGGCGGACGGGUGAGUAAUGCCUAGGAAUCUGCCUGGUAGUGGGGGAUAACGCUCGGAAACGGACGCUAAUACCGCAUACGUCCUACGGGAGAAAGCAGGGGACCUUCGGGCCUUGCGCUAUCAGAUGAGCCUAGGUCGGAUUAGCUAGUUGGUGAGGUAAUGGCUCACCAAGGCGACGAUCCGUAACUGGUCUGAGAGGAUGAUCAGUCACACUGGAACUGAGACACGGUCCAGACUCCUACGGGAGGCAGCAGUGGGGAAUAUUGGACAAUGGGCGAAAGCCUGAUCCAGCCAUGCCGCGUGUGUGAAGAAGGUCUUCGGAUUGUAAAGCUCUUUUGUCAGGGAAGAAACGGUAGAGGCUAAUAUCCUUGCUAAUGACGGUA
rnacentral:rRNA from 1 species